rnacentral:rRNA from 1 species
UACGUAGGUGACAAGCGUUGUCCGGAUUUACUGGGCGUAAAGAGCGCGUAGGCGGUCGAUCAAGUCGAGUGUGAAAGCCCCCGGCUCAACUGGGGAGGGUCAUUCGAAACUGGUCGACUCGAAGGCAGGAGAGGGUAGUGGAAUUCCCGGUGUAGUGGUGAAAUGCGUAGAUAUCGGGAGGAACACCAGUGGCGAAGGCGACUACCUGGCCUGUUCUUGACGCUGAGGCGCGAAAGCUAGGGGAGCAAACGGG